CCACAGUACUAAGACUGAGGUACCUGUCUACAUCAAAAGAUGAGUACUACAAUGCAGAUGACUUAGCCAGGACUGAUAUUCUUAGAAGAAAAAAGAUUAAGACACAGACAGAAGAAAGACCAUGUAAAGGCACAAGGAGAAGACAGCCAUUUACAAGCCAAGAAGAGAGGUCUCUGAAAUGGCUGACUAGGGAUGUUGGAUGCCAGGUCUCCUCAGAAAGAUCAAAGUUACAGGUGAAUGCCCAUGAUUUAAAUGGAAAUCUGAGGGAAUGAAGCAAGGACCUGUUGGAGCACCCAUGGGAAGAACCUGGGGCACAAAAGAGGAAAGCAGCAAGAGACUGACAGAGAUUGUCUCCCUAGAAACCUGGACCACGAAAAGGGGUGGAGAGGAGAAAACUCUGUGCUAAAUAUUACUCCUGGAAAAGUGCAUUUGCUUCGGAGAAAUCUUUAUCAUGGGUCUCUAAGAGGAAGGAACAAUAGCAUCUUCUAUGUGCCGAGGUAGCGCAAUAAUGAACUCUGUUCAAGUGGAUCAAAAGCCAUCAAGGUCAAAAUUAGGCACAGGCUGUACAGGAAGCGUGAUUCUGGCAUCUGUUUGGUUUCUGGGAAGGCCUCAGGAAACUUAAAGUCAUGGAAGAAGGGGAAGGGAGAGCAGGCACGUCUUACAUGACCAAAGCAGGAAGAAGAGAGAGAAGUGUGGAGGUGCUAUACACUUUUAAACAGCCAGAUCUUGUGAGAACUCUGUCAGAAGAACAGCACUAGGGAAAUGGUGCUAAACCAUUCUUGGGGACUCCAUCCCUGUGAUACAAUCACCUCCCACCAGGCCCCACCUCCAACACUGAGAAUUACAACUCAACAUGAGAUUUGGAUGGGGACACAGAUCCAAACCAUAUCAAAUUUUCACACCUUUCAGUAAAGCUUUAUAUUUUUUAAGGAUAUUUAAGUACUUGGAAGUAGAAGUAGAGAGUAAGGGGAAUAUUGUACAGCCAUCACAGCCUUUGUCUACUAAAGAAGUCAGUUUCAUGUGACAAAUGUUCAUUUAUAUGGAUGUUACUUUUUCUCCAAGCAUAGGGAAAGUGCCUCU
rnacentral:lncRNA from 10 species